rnacentral:misc_RNA from 1 species
AAAAAAAAAAAAAAAAAAGAGAAGGGGAAGAAACAAAAAAAAAAAAAGAUGGGAGGUGGAUGGUGGUCCUACACAGUUCCUGAUGGCCAUUACUUCUGAAGCUUUUCAAAUUAGUGUAACGAUACAAGGCCUAAGUUUGCAUAUUGCAGGAUGCUAGUCAUAUUACUUGGUCAAAGAUUUUGUUAUUGCCUGAAGAAAGAAGUCAAUUGGUGGUGCUCUCCUUUUCCUCUCCCCACCGUCUUAGUAUAGAUUUUCUACAAUUGUCAAGCUGAAAUACUGUCGACAGAUGAAUUUUUUUUUUUCCACCUUCUAAAUCGGUUAUGUAAAUGGUAUAUGGCGGUUGUUGAUGUCUUCAUUUUAUCUGCUUGUGAGAUUAUUUGAUGGAGGAUUUGAUCAGUGUAAGGAAACCCAGGAUGGUAUUUCUUUUUAAGAUGAUUCAUGUAAAUAAUACUCAUCUGAUUUCUACAUGAAGGCUUGGGUUUUUUUGACUUGCUGAUAAAUGAUUUGCUCAACUCAUUUUUGUAGUGUAUUAGGUACCCCGCAAAAACACUUCUGCAAUUUGAUUAAAUUCUUUUCAGCUUUUGUGAUGCUAUUGGUGUGAUUCUUUUCAUUUCCCUGCCUUAUUGGAGAAUGGAAGCUAAGGUGCGAAGGCUUAUCAGACUUGGUUGGCUAGGCGUAAGGUGACCUAAUUUAUGGAGCCUGCUGUUUCAAGUCUCUCUCGUAGGAUUCUUACCAAAAGGAUAGUUUAGGACCUCAGCCUGCCUAAGGAAUUUCUUGGUGACAGCCUCAGCU